AUUGAACGCUGGCGGCAGGCCUAACACAUGCAAGUCGAACGAGUGGCGGACGGGUGAGUAAUGUCUGGGAAACUGCCUGAUGGAGGGGGAUAACUACUGGAAACGGUAGCUAAUACCGCAUACCAUCAGAUGUGCCCAGAUGGGAAUAGCUAGUUGGUGGGGUAACGGCUCACCAAGGCGACGAUCCCUAGCUGGUCUGAGAGGAUGACCAGCCACACUGGAUCUGAGACACGGGCCAGACUCCUACGGGAGUCAGCAGUGGGGAAUAUUGCACAAUGGGCGCAAGCCUGAUGCAGCCAGGCCGCGUGUAUGAAGAAGGCCUUCGGGUGGUAAAGUACUUUCAGCGGGGAGGCGUUACCCGCAGAAGAAGCACCGGCUAACUCCGUGCCAGCAGCCGCGGUAAUUC
rnacentral:rRNA from 1 species